AUCCUUAAAUCUAGCCCUGAGCAUGGGAUUUGUAAUGAUGGAUGAAACCUCAAGAGCAUUACCUGUAGGUUUCUUGAACUGUGCUGCUAAAACUCGGUAUUGUGGCCCCGACUCAGAACUCCCAGCUCCUCAAAAAAGAGCAAAGAUAUGGAGCUAGAGGUGGACUGUGACAGCGUCUCUGGGCCAUGAAAUGUCCUUUGACGAUACCCGCCAGCAGACAUUCUAUUAAUCAUGCAUAGCUUUAGGCCUUAAUACAACUUUAUAUAUCAUAAAGUUGGUCAAUUUAACUUUGGGGUCUAUUAGAAUUGACUCAGUUUUGUAGCUAGGCUCAAGAGGUCAUUUGAGGAGCUGCAGCUUUUCGCUUCAUUUUUCAGUCUUGGAGUUUACCGCUUUGCCUCGAGGCUUGUGCACAGAUAUUAAUGUUCACGUGGGAGCCCUCUGCACCAUCCUAAUGAAGCACUUUCUUCACUGUUUCCUUGAGAAAAGGUCAGCAAUUCCCCCACCCUGGCGUCAGAGCUCAGCAAUGUGGCCUGACAAGUUUCCAGGUGACAGUAUCAGAUAUAAAACCUGGAAAAAAGGGAGAAGAGGAGAGUGCUAUUCUGCAGCAGGCCCUGUGGGACAGAGAUGAAGCCAUAGAGAAGAAGAAAGCGAUGGAGGCCGAGCUGCUUCGGAGUAAGACGGAGCUGAUGGCACUGAACAACCAGCUGCUGGAGGCUGUGCAGAAACGUCUGGAGCUGUCGCUGGAGGUCGAGGCCUGGAAGGAGGACGUUCAGCGGAUCCUCCAGCAGCAGCUACAGAAUCAGCAGCAGGCAGAACAGGCUCAGAAGAAGACUUCUCGUCUGGGCAUCCUCAGGAGAAACAACAAACCGCCCAUCCAGCGGCCGUCCAACUUCCCUCUGUCCACGCCAAGCCCUCCCACUACCAACACGAAGCAAAUCUUCCUCUCCAAAUCUGCUGCUUCGGGUCCCAGCACGCCUCCUUCCAGCCUCAGGUGGAAGCCGAGGAGGGGCAAGAGCAGCCGUCAAGUAGACCAGGAUUCAGAGUUCGGUCGGGAAGAUGACGGCUUCCGGAACGUAUCACUUGAUUAAAACAGUGCUGACACUGAGUGCACUCUUACAUCUACUUAAAGUCGUUCUUCAGUCCUUACUGUCCCUUACUGAAUCAUGUUUAACACUCAAAGGUUGUUUUUACAUUUAUCUGCUGAAGGGUGAAGCUUCACUUAAAAUCUGAGCUUAACGUGCACGUGAGCAGCAUUUUGUGACGACACAACUAGUUUGGACAAGAGCCAUGCACUAAUAUGUAGCCGGCGAUGUGGAAAUGCUCCAGUACACAAACAUAGAGGAGGAACUUUUCAUCGGAUUAGGAGAAUUCUAGUGUCCGGCAGUUACACUUGUACAAUAAACUAUAUUUGCAUAUUCAUAGAUUCUGGAUGUCUCAGUGAGGAAGGAGGCAAAGAUGCCAUUUUAAUGAAGUAACUGAACUUCUUUUGUUGAAAAAAAACAUAUCAUGCACAAAUUAUUAUUAUAACAGAGUAUUUUUUAUGUUUUAUAUUUUCUUGGGAAACAUGCUUUAGAUGUAUGUACGAAAUAUAACGGAUUGUGAAUGUGCCAAGUAAAUAUUGAAAACUAACACUUAAAUGCCUUACACUUACUGACCUAAUAUUUGUUACUUCUUGUAAAUAAAUGAAAUUAUUAUACAAACUCUUUUAAAUCUCUAAGUCAGACUGUCAUUGAUUUUCUGACAUUCACAUCACCAUAAAAGACAGAAAAAUAAAUUUUGUUGCAUUGAC
ensembl:lncRNA